GGUUGCAGCAGGACUUGUAGCCUAGGUAAAAUAUCAAGGCGGAGCGUUCAGUGCUAGGCAGGCAGAUGCUUUCUGAACUUAAAGGCAAUGUAAUCAGCUAAAACGUAAAUCGCCCAUUGCCAGUUCAGAGAGCCAUUUGCCUCCAUCAUUCCUGGACACUUCGAACCGAAAACAAUCCGCAGGGCGCAAUGCUUUUGCAAAGAAGAAGCACGUUUGUAGUCGAUCAGCACGUCUGUGAAGCCUAUUUGAUUAUAUCUGGAUAGAUGAAAGAACAAUUAACCUACUUCAUUUACUCGAAUAACAUGAUUUCUUUGCUGUUUUGAUGGGGUGUUUCGCAGUCUGUUGAUGAGUCCUUGACUCACUGUGUGACCAUGUUUGUACGUGCUCUCCUGUGUUUGCUGCUGCUGCCUCCCUGCAUCUCCCCAGGAAUGUGACUAGCCUGCAACCUGUUCAGACUUAUAUGCAUGCCUGCCUCUUUGGGUGUUUUUGCCAAGGAGCCACCCCCACACCUGCAAGCAAUGGCUAGAGAAGGUGUUGCAUCAUAGAGGACUAUCAUUCUGAUUGGUUAUUCCAAUUUUCACCAUUCUGGUUGGUUCAAAAAAACAAAACAAAAAUUCUGGGUACCUUAUAGAUGACUAAAUGAAAUAAGUUAAUUGCAACUAAAGUAUUUUUGCAGAUAUUGUCUUUGUAAACCAGAUCAAAAUAUUGCUUUAGCACAGACAAUUUGUAGAUUAAUGUUUGAGUUGAAGAUGUUAAUGUUGAGAAUAUGCUCUAUAAUCAUCAAGACGUUUCAAGUUUGUCCAAAUAAUCAGUGACCAGAAAUAUCUGCACUUGAACAAUUCACCAUCUAUGCAACAGUUCUGCCGUUAAUGUGAUAUUAUACAAAGUGUACAUGAGAGACCAUAGUCAUUGUAACUGAGGUAAAUUAAUUGUUCUCUAGCAUAGACUCCUUCUCCCUGACAUAUUCCAUGUGUUGGUUCAAACUUGCUGAAAUGUUUUUAUCAAAAAUAAAAGUGAAACUGACAUGGCUGUAAUGUUCCCUCAAGGAACUCUGCAGGAAAGACAACAUUAGUCCAAUAAGCUUAAUACAGAACAGCUACUUCCUCUAUACUGUAAAGUGGAACAUUUAAAAUGUUGAAAACAAUUAAUUCUGAUAUUUCUUUUAGUUUUUGUAUGACUUUUAGUCAGAAGUCAAGAGUCAGUAUUCCUGACACAGACGAUGGUUUCUUGAGACUAAUGUCUGUGACCUGAAAUGAUUAGAGAAUAGGUUCAGUCUUAGAAACUGGGCUUGUUAUUAGCAACAUUUUUUAUACUGUCGUAAAUAGUAUUAUCAUUGAUAUGGUACAAAAUCUUCAAUAUUCAACAAUAAACACAAAUCUGUGUUUGACCCUUUUUAAUGUGCUGACUUAAUGUAAAAGUUCACUCAGCCAGGACAGUGUCAUGAGCUGCUCUUCUUGUUGCUCAUACUUUGAAAAGAGAAUCCUAGUCAGUGGAUGUUUUCUAUCAUAAGUCCAAAGCCAGAGGCUGGCAACCCAUUAGUAGACAUUUAAUCAUCUAAAUGAAAUCACUUUGUCUAAUUAAGACAUCUCCAGCGCCACUUGCUGGUCUGGGAAUUAUGGCACUUAGCCAUAAAAGAUUCUGCCCUUGUCUGAAAAGGAGGAAUGGCAAGCUCUGGACAGUGUGUGGACUGUGUCUUAAAUGUUGUUCUUUGGUAGAUCAGUGAUUGAGGGUUUGUUUGAAUCUCCAUAGUGAGGUGGAUUCCUGUCAUCUACGAUUGAGGCUUGUUUCCAUCUUCAGACAGAUUUUAACAUGGGACCAAUGGAGAAAGGGGAAAGUACAUUGUGCCACAUUUUCUGCACCAAAGUUGUUUAAUGGUCACUUUCCGAAUGGUUGUCAGCAUUUUGUUGUAUUAAAUAAUUGUUUAUUCAGUUAGUAUGCUGAUUUACUAUGAUAACAGUGAAGUGAGCCAGGAAUGAGUUUUAUAUGACUCAAUGUUGUUACAUUUAUAAUGAACCUGAAAUGUACUCUGAAUCCCCUCAUUAUGUGGCCUAGAGUGCAAUGGUCCUCUCUCAUGCAACACAGUGUGGUUACUCUUUAACAAGUCACAAAAGUGACAUCAUUCCUCAAAUAUUGCUUGAAGGUGACCAGGUAAAAAAUAACUGAUUUAAUUUAAUCGAAAAGUUAAUCAAUGUCCACAAAGUGACAUUCUGUGUGCAAUUAGUUCACCAUAAAUACAGUGUACAUGUGGUAGUUCUUCAAAAAGGGUGAGUCAUUUGUCUUUGAACAGCAAUAGAUUAUCCGUAAAUCUCAAAAACAUGUAUUAAUACCUAACAACAUUAAAGUUGAAUUGGGAUCACUGAGGUUCCAUAAAACCAAAACAAGCUGAGGGUCUUAGUGUGUAAUAACUACAUCCAAAUCAGAAUGGUUAGGUCGUAAUAAAGCAAUGGCACAAAUGUUCGUUUUAAAGCUCAGUCCAACACAGGGUUAACAAAGCAAAAACCAGAUUGGCUGCAUUCAGGAACUUACCAACCAAGAUGAUGUCAUGUUUCCUGCUCAUUGUGAAACUGCUUGUUUCAUACCAGGAACACUUACAGUCUUGAAACAGAGUGAAGUUGAAACAUGUUCGUUUAAACACUGCACCAAUAAGGCGAAUUGAAAUCAGCCUACAAAACUUAAACAAUAUGACAACAGAAAUGGGAACAAAAGCCUCAUUUAUGGUUUAAAAAGACAGUUGUAUUAAAGUAAC